UACGUAGGGUGCGAGCGUUAAUCGGAAUUACUGGGCGUAAAGCGUGCGCAGGCGGUUUUGUAAGCCAGAUGUGAAAGCCCCGGGCUCAACCUGGGAAUGGCAUUUGGGACUGCAAGGCUUGAGUGCGGCAGAGGAGACUGGAAUUCCUGGUGUAGCAGUGAAAUGCGUAGAUAUCAGGAGGAAUACCGAUGGCGAAGGCAAUCCCCUGGACCUGUACUGACGCUCAUGCACGAAAGCGUGGGGAGCAAACAGG
rnacentral:rRNA from 1 species